UGACUGAGCCAGCCAGGUGCCCCCAAAUGCAAAUUUUCUUAACAAGAAAAGUACAGGGUUUAAGAACAAUCGCAAUGUCUAUGGCUAACACUUACAGAGCACCUACUACGAUGUCAGCCAUUAUUCCAAGCACUCUUCAUAUUUAUUAGAACUCUGUGAGAUGGGAACCAUUAUUUUCCUCAUUUUCUAGAAGAAAUGGAGGCACAGAGAGAUCAAACAACUGGCCAAAGAUCACCCAGCUCGCCUCAGCUGUGUCCAGAGGCCUUAACAGCUACAUUACAGGCAUCUCCAAUCAACACUGUGGUCUGGAGAUGCUCCCUUGACCUCUCUAAUGUGAUUCACAGAUACGCUUGUGAACAUUUGACAGCGUUGAUGAGCAGAACGGCUGAGCGUGCUGGUGGCCAGUUGGAAAGCACACGAAGCCAGGGACUGGAGGGACGCCCAGCCUCCUGGUGGGCUCUGAGUCACAUAGGUCAGCCAGGGCUGGCCGGCUCAGCCUGUCACCCUCAGCUGUCUCUCUUGUGUUGCACGGAGGAGCCGGGGCUCAGAGAUGGGAACUGCCAUGUAUAAGCUCUCUGGCAAAAUCAGCUUCCAGGUGAAGAAAACCCACAUACCCGAAGGGAAAUACAUAUGCCACUCUUACUGCCGAGACCUGGUGCAUCUGGAUUAUCCCCAGAAUGGGAAAUUAGCGAGCCGCACAAACGCUCGCGAAGUAAGACGUUCGGGCAAAAAGAACGCUCAGGUUACAAAAUGAACAUGUCUACAGAGAGGACACCACUUGACAAGGAGACCCAGCAGUGGAUAGUGACUCUUCACCUUGGGGACAGUAUUAAUCUCCUAGGCACAGGCUCUGGUUUUAGAUGACCCUGCAAGAGAUAAUGCCAAUGUGAACGCACCAUAAUAAUGGCGACUACUUGGGGCACCUGGCUGGCUCAGUCCGUGGAUCAUACGACUCUUGAUCUCGGGGUCAUGUGUUCAAGCUCCAUGAUGGG